rnacentral:lncRNA from 1 species
GUAGGUCCAAUAUCUAUCGACACUUCGAAAGUAGGAUGAUAGCAGUCUUCAGGUAUAGUGAGCGGGAGUGCUCGUGUUAACAACGCUACGGUCGGAUCCGAGACAAAGCACAGAUCAAGCAAUCGACCCAAGGAGUUUUUUACAUGGUUGACUUGAGACAUGGACAGGUCUAAUAAGCCAUCAAUAAACUCAUGUCGUGACAUGGGCACAAGGUUGUUUGACUCGUUAACCGAAGACCAGACAGUACCUGGCAGGUUGAAAUCCUCAAGAACUAUUAAAUGGUCUUUAUCAGAUAGCUAGGAAGAAACAGUUUUUAAGGCAGACAAAUGCUGCUCGUAUAUUAGUACAUCCGAAGUCGGUGGAAUAUACGAGCAAGUGACAUAAAUAGACUGGCCGGGAAGAAUCAGUCUAACACAGAGGAUUUCCAGGUCUUGUGAGACCUGGACUAUGAAAAGUUCCGACGUAAAGUUAGAGUUUACUGCAAUCAGAACCCCUCCUUCACGUCGAGACGAACGAUAAUUUCUAUAAGUUGUGUACCGAUCUGCCAAAACUUCGGAACUAAGAAUGUCCGGCUUUAACCAGGUUUCGGUAAAC